UUAUGUUUCUCCCCACACCGUCCCUGUUUUGCUGCCAAUGAACAGUAGGACCCACACAAGAUGGAAAGAAAUCUGACCGAAAACAUGUAAUUCCGAUGGUCUUCAUUGAAUCCGGCGAAGUAGAGGUCGAACCCAACAGUAAUUACAUCUCCAAGCUCUCUGAAACUCCACAAAACCAGUGUGCAAGUCAGCUCAAAAUCUCCACCCUAUUUCAGUCGAGUUGGGUCGUCUCAGUUCCCUUUGAGGUCGCCGACAAGGUCGUAGUUUGUUAGCUCCAGUCGAGUCCACCUGAAGCUUGUGUUGUCGUGUAUAUUGGAGGAUUUGUGUUCAUAUAUAAAAUAUUGGGCUUGAAGACUUGUGAUUUUGUUGUUGACAAGAUUUGAAUUCACUAAAGGUUCAUUCUACCUUUUCUUUACUAUUUCAGUCGUAAUAUCACUCUUCAUUGGAUUUCUUUGAUUUUGCCGCUGUCUGAUCAAUUGUUUGACUCAGUGUGUCAUUGUUAGUUGUUCUGUUUUGGUGGAAAGUUAAUAUUCUGGGUUUUUCAAUUUUUUGUGAUUGCUUGGAUUAUAGUAUGGGUGUGGAAAUUUCACUAUUAUUGCCUUUCUAUACCUAUAUGUUCUUCAAUGAUAACAUGAACUAUUCCACUAUUUUCUUUAAAUUUUCCUAAUUAAGAUGUUGAUUGGUUCGUUAGCCUUGAAUCCUUAAGCGUGGGCGUGUUCUGAUGCAGAAUGCUUGGAAAGCUAGAAGCAAAUUUACGGUUUGGGCCUUUCUAGAUGAUUAUAGGUUUAAUGUUGAAAAAGGGCUACAGGGCCAAACAUGUUAAUGCCAGGCCCAUUCCCUAAUGACACUUUAUUGAGCCAUUGUAGAGUUAGCUUGAUUUCAUGGAAUCAAUAAACCAUCUCACCUUUCCAUAAUUAAUUACUACACUUUCCCAUAAAUAAUUUCAUAAUUCACGGAUCGUUACGAUAAUCUCAAAGUUUAGGAAAAAUUACGAAUAUGUUGUAAUAUAUCAUUGUGAUUGUGGACACGUUCGCAUUAUGUAAUUGUGAUUCUAAUAAAACAAAAUCGAAGUAUGCGUUCGCGCAACUUUGGCCAAACCUUUUUUUAUGAUAAAGUGUUAUUAAUUGUGGACAGGUUGGCAUGACAUAUUUUUGAC
rnacentral:lncRNA from 1 species